AAAGCGCUUUUCUCGGUAAAUCUCGGACUUGUUGUAAAAAUAUUAAAAUAGUCUAUUACUUAUAUUAUAACAAGUUUACAUUUUCUGAAAAUUUACGGUUUUAGUGUACAUUACAAUUAUUUCGCUGGAUGAUUCUCUGUUUUAUGUUGAUCUUGUUGGGCCUGAGGGAAGCGGGAUCCGGUGCUCGUUCAUCCUCUGGAUGUAUUGGGUUAUUUUAUGGUAAUCAUAUUCAAUUUUAUUAUAAACACGACGAACAGAUUGAUUUGCAUGGAAUUAGUGAGGUUUGAAAAGGCGUUAUGAAGCCACGUCCACCCGCUGAAGACAUAGACUAGCACUUGCACUUGGACGUGCCCACUCCUAGUGCUAAGGGCGAACAGCAAUUUCUUUUCAACAGAACAGUGGAAGCAGAUGAGAGAUUUGGCAGAUAUGCCAUGUACUUGUCUUACUCUUAAGGUGUUUUACUCAAGACAAAUGAAAUUUGACAUGCUGCUGCUUAGUUCACAGAAUUGUCAUCAAAAUCAUCAACUCCUUCAGUACAUGUGAUGUGUUAACCUUUUAUUGAAUGAAUUUUGAGCAGUUCCUUUAAUAAAACAUGAAGACUUCUUGACAAAGCCAAAGAGGUGGCUCCUUAAUGAAUAUGUUGGUAACAACAAUGUGCUAUAUAUAAAAUGGACAUCACAGCUGCCUUAUUACCAGCAACACACAUUUCAAGUGGAUUUGAAGGUGGCAAAGUGUAUGGGGCCUAGAUGAGGGUAACUAUUAAAAACCCUGGACCAUGGAAAAAAACCAGUCCAAAAUGUGUCCUAUUAGCCAUUAGAAUCCUUCCUGUUCAUAGUCAUGAAAGAUGUAUGUUUGGACAACAAAGUAUGGACAAAUUUUUUACCCAAGAGACUAAGUAUGAUGCUGUUGAGUUGUACCGAGUUCAGAAUGAUAUUUUGAUGACAAGUCUCCAAAUAUGUUACUUUUAUGAAGAUGUCAGUGGCAUUAAUAACUGCUGAAAAGCUGGAUCUUUACCAAAAGAAUGGCAGAAAAUUAUGCUUAAUUAUGUUUAUUUUUGACAGCUAUAACAUUGAGUUGAACUGGGUGUUCAGUUUUUCCAAGGACAAAUGCAAUUUAUGAGAAAAAAAUUAAUGAAGUCUGAGGAAUGAAACUCCUGAGUUGUAUGUUUGUCAACCCCAUAGGAGAACUUGAAUAUUUUUAUUAAUUUUUUUUUUUUAGUUUUUUAUCUUGUUU